GUUAUGUUUGCUCAGACCGCAUUGAGCGCGCUGAGGAGAGGUGGGGAAAUUUACAAACGAAAUCAUAUCAACUUACUGUGCUGUUUUCUGAUUCAUCCAGGUAUUGUUUUAUGUACAUUUAUGCUUCUUUGUGUUUACAUUUGUUUCGCAAUUACAUUAAUUUCUAAUAUAAAGUUAGAUAGGGGAAGAUUAAUUAAUAUCACAAUGUAUGGAACUGUAAUCAUUUGUUAUUUUUAUUUAUUUACUUUUUGUACACUUUUGUGAUCUGUUUACCCAGUUUUAAUUGGGUAUGAUGUUAUUGUUAUGUUUGCUCAGACCGCAUUGAGCGCGCUGAGGAGAGGUGGGGAAAUUUACAAACGAAAUCAUAUCAACUUACUGUGCUGUUUUCUGAUUCAUCCAGUUUGCUCUGAGCUGACGCUUGAGUGACAAUAAACCCACCAUCAGCAG